UGUAUCGGCGAAGUUACGCGAAAAAAUUCUCUCCUCCAUACGAGCGAGACGACUCGUUCUCGUUCCUUGAAAAACGAAAAUCUCGCCUGACCGGCAGACGAUGCGUAAAAAUUAACAAGACGUGGAUAAAAAAAGAGCGACGUGAGAUCAGGCCGCGGGAAGAAAUUAUAACUUGCUCGAAAGAAGAAACGAAAAGAACGAGCGAAACGGCAGAAGGAGAAGCUUGAAGAAAAAGAAAAAAAUCAUCCCCUAUCCCUACAGCUGUAAAAAAAAAGCUCGACUCAAAACUCUGGAAAAUCCUGGUUCGCGGGAGCUAAUUUCUAGUCCACUCGCUGAACGUACGUGGUAUGAGAAUGGUGGGUGAAAUAAAUUUUUUCGUAUUCGAAUAAAAAUACGGUACGAUAACGUCGGUUUCACUUCCACCCUCGACAACGCCUUGUUGCUACGUUAUCCUAGCUACAGGUAUACCUGCAUUUUGCUCACGGGGUUGCUGAACCAACGGUUGCUCUGAACUUUCGUGACCUCGGCUGACCCCGUGGAUCGAUACGUCAUUUUGCUACCCGGCAUGCCCAGGCCGCGGUAUCAACGACCACGUAAAAUGCACCGCUCGGCGAAAAAUAUUUUCCAUGUUACCGAGAUAUCGUCACGCGCGCCUAUCCGGAUCGUCGAGACUCGGAUCGAGCGACGCCGUUCAUCGAUCGAAAAUAGACGACGAGCCCUCGGAGUUCGGCGUUGUCGAACUGCGAAUUUUACGACGAUCGGGGUUUAACGACGAUCGGGGACGCACUUGCGAACGUACUACAUUCCAUACUCGUCGAUACGGCUCCCGCGGAUUCGACGGAGCUUUCGAGUUCGAGUGGCGCGGUGCAAUCGUCCCCGAGUGAUUCAAUUUUUUCACCUACAUCGAUUAUGACACAAUUGCCGCGUUUUGUAACCGUCCGCGGAAUUCUAUUAUACAAUGCGUGAGUAGACGGUAUACCUGUGCAGCCGGUAGGAAAAUGUACGAAGAGCUCGGGUCGACGAGAUUUAUUUUAUCCUUUUGGAAAGACAGUCGACAAAGUUCACCUGUCUUGCGUAGUUGUAUAGUCGUUCGUACGUCUGUACGACUAUAUAGGUACGAGGGUACAAAGCAGGGGGGGCGGGGGAUAUGAUCGAUAAUGAAAUAUAUAUACGAAGGCUUUUAAAAGCUGUAAAAGCGACGGCGACGCUCGUAGAUCUAGACAGACGAGAAAACGAAGUGCUGCGUCGUGACCUAAAAUGUAGUAUGACGAUACUCGUGGAAAACACAGAUAUUAUGCGAUAGAUUGGACAUCAAAAUCUCAUACUGUAUCAUCAACGAGUAAUUACAAUGAGCUAUGGUAGGGCUCCAGGGUUCAAAUUAUGGGGAGCCCUGAGCCCUGAGGAAAUGCUGUUAACCUUGCAUAUAUAUAUAUUAUAAUCACUUUGCAGGCCAAUCAUGAAAAACUGAUUCUCUCGUCUCAAGUUACCUUAGUAAUUAUUUCGCCUUCUUUAACGAGUGGAGGUAAUUCUAGACCGUUAUACUCGAGAGCAAAUACACCCUACGACGUUGAUCGGUAGCUCGGAAUUGAAAAUAUCACAGAGUCAGGAGAAGGUUGAGCAUGAGGGUGAGGGUUGUGCGUAUUCCCGACUAUUCGAGGAAAUUAUUUUCUCGCCAACUUCGCGCUUGUCCACGAUAGGCUCAACAUUUUGCAGUAAUCGGUCAACGAGGAGCCGAAAUUGAGGGCGUUGUAAAAUGUCAAUCUAAUCGUAAUCGUAGGAUAUACGUCUAAUUGUAAAUUAGAUAGUUCCUACAUAUUUCAAGCCCGUAGACUGAACACCUUUUUUCUGUCCGGAAUAUAUAAUUGAUUACACCGAUUAUCGGUAUAAUACCGAAAUGAACGCGAUCGCUAGAAAAGUGUAGAAUAGAUCCAAUUUCGUUCACACUUCCUUACGUUGAAUAAACUUUGAUUCGAAAUUACACAAAGUCAUUGCGUCUUAUAGUUUUAAACUGUCGGGAACUUUUACUUGGAAAGUUUUCAAUAUUUCAACGAGUAAACUCCUUCACUCGCCUCGAUUCCGCAGGUGGCACGAAUCCAGCGAAUCACAGUUAACGAUUUGGUGAAAAGCGUUGUGAAAAUAAGGCGCGUUAAACAAAUCUUGAAGAUCGAAUAGCAGAAGUUUUGUUUUUUUUUUUUUUUUUUUUCUUCUUACCCGGGUGUCCCGUCGUUGAUAUCAGCCGGCGGUAAUGUUCGCGUAAGUUGUAUAAGCUCGUUAAAAAGUUUGAAAAUCUUUCAAAGUAGUUUUGAAAAGAAUCUUUUCGAGAUUAGGUUCAUUCGCGCUGCAUCUAGUCUUUCGAACAAAAUGCAAGAAAUUUCACCAUCGUGUUUCUCACUUAUAAAACGUAAGAAGAACAAACAUACGAUAAUAAAGCUUUAGCGACCCUUGAAAGCUUCCAGUUUUCUUUGGAUCGUAUAACGCCUAAUCCCUGGAAUAUCUUUUCUCCCACGAUUUCAGACCUCACUCAACCUCGAUUGACAAUAACAGAAGUAUCACAUCCGUCGAUAACUUAUAUUGUUCUUGUCAUACCGUCAACUUUAAACGACCUGAGCAGCGAAGAAGAGAAAAGAAAAAACAUGAAAAUGGUAUGUGACGAAUCAUCCUCGACUCGGAUCUCAACCGUCCGGCGGUGACGCGAACCUCGGGGUGGUUCCGAGAAAACAUCUGCAGG